rnacentral:rRNA from 1 species
UACAGAGGUCACAAGCGUUAUCCGGAUUUAUUGGGCGUAAAGCGUUUCGUAGGUUUCUUAUUAAGUUGCUCUUCAAAGACCACGGCUCAACCGGGGGAAGGGGAGUAAGACUGGUAGGAUUGAAUGGUGGUGGGGCUUCUGGAACUGGUGGUGUAGUAGUGAAAUACGUUGAUAUCAUCAGGAACUCCAAGGGCGAAGGCAGGAAGCUAACCAUCUAUUGACACUGAGGAACGACAGCUAGGGGA